AGAAACCCUAACCUCCUACUCAUCAUCAUCAACAGAUCUCCUCCACACUCGAUCCAAAUCAGAAACUCUUCACUUUCUCUCUCUCUUUCCCCUCAGCCUCCAACACCACUGCGACUGCAACUGCCGCGUUGUCCACCAUCAUCUACCGCUCUAUCUCUCUCUCUCUUCUUAGCCUGUUGCUGCAGGACAUCGACGACGAUCUUCCCGCCCUGCUGCUUGCUAUACACCAGAUGAUUAUUCGUUAGUGUUGAAAGGUAUGAGCUUUGAAGAUAUUGAAGCGGGUUGUCCGUUGAAUUCAAGGCAAGACCCUUUCAAUAGCAAUCAGGACCCGACUCAAGCCGUUGCUUCGGGGAUUUUUCAAAACACCACUGUCUCCACGUUUCAGAGGCUCGUCAAUACCUUUGGAACCCUUAAGGACACCCCACAGCUCCGUGAGAAAUUAUGCUAAUUGUUCCCAUAAUUUGAGGAUGUUUGGUGGUCAAAGAGGUUGUAGAAAAGCUAUUUUACAUAUAAAUAAUAAUAAAUUUUGAUGGUCUGUUGAUCAACAACAAGAGAUGGCCAAACAAAGGUUGUAAGAGAAGGGGACAAUGGUGUAGCAUAUUCAUGGAAUAUGGAGUAGCAGUGGGAUAAGAAUAAGGCUCAACAGCUUCACAAGCCUUCUACAGAAGAAGGGCCAACGUCUAUCAAAGAUGAUGCAAUUGUUCAUGUGUUUGGUCCAAAACGGCAUGGUAGGGUAAGAGGGCUUGGAUUUGUGCUUGAAGAUGCUAUUGGAAGCACUAUUGCUUGGUCAACCCAUUUCAUUAGUUUUGACUUUGAAUAGAACUAACAUCUAUAGAUAGUUUUUGAGGACUUUGAUAAAUAGAUUUCUAUAAUUUUUGAAUAGUUUUGGGUAUUGUCUACAAACUUAUAUAUGUACAGUUUGGAUGGUUUAUAACUUUUUGGAUAAUUUAGAACUUAAGGAUAGUCCUUUUGGAUGUUUGGAAUGUAUA